UACGUAGGGGGCAAGCGUUGUCCGGAAUCAUUGGGCGUAAAGAGCGUGUAGGCGGUUCGGUAAGUCGGCUGUGAAAGUCCAGGGCUCAACCCUGGGAUGCCGGUCGAUACUGCCGGACUAGAGUUCGGAAGAGGCGAGUGGAAUUCCCGGUGUAGCGGUGAAAUGCGCAGAUAUCGGGAGGAACACCUAUGGCGAAGGCAGCUCGCUGGGACGUUACUGACACUGAGGAGCGAAAGCCAGGGGAGCAAACGGG
rnacentral:rRNA from 1 species